rnacentral:rRNA from 1 species
AUUGAACGCUGGCGGCAUGCCUUACACAUGCAAGUCGAACGGCAGCACGGGUGCUUGCACCUGGUGGCGAGUGGCGAACGGGUGAGUAAUACAUCGGAACAUGUCCUGUAGUGGGGGAUAGCCCGGCGAAAGCCGGAUUAAUACCGCAUACGAUCUACGGAUGAAAGCGGGGGACCUUCGGGCCUCGCGCUAUAGGGUUGGCCGAUGGCUGAUUAGCUAGUUGGUGGGGUAAAGGCCUACCAAGGCGACGAUCAGUAGCUGGUCUGAGAGGACGACCAGCCACACGGGGACUGGGCCACGCCCCAAACCCCUAGGGGGGGCAGCAGUGGGGAUUUUGGAAAAAGGGGGGAAAGCCUGAUCCAGCAAGGCCGGGGUGGGGAAAAAGGCCUUGGGGUGGAAAAGCCCUUUUGUCCGGAAAAAAAUCUUUGGCCCUAAAACGGUGGGGGGAUGACGGUACCGGAAAAAAAAGCACCGGCAAACUAGGG